ACCUACAGGGGGAGGAGGCGAGGUCAGCGGGAACCUGGAAGCCGGCAAGGCUCUGGUGGCAGGCAGUGAGGAGCUUUGGGUCUGAGAAAGGGAGGUGGCCUGCGGCCGAAAUGCAGGCCAAGGGGACAUUCCAGCACUUUCCUGGAUGGCCAGGCGGCAGGGAAACGUCUGAGCCUCGGUUUCCCGCCAGGACAAUCAGGACAAGGUCUACCCUCUGGGACCACGCGACCGCUGUGAGGGUUACAUGAGCCAAUGUAGGUAAAGGAGGCCUAGGACGAGGUAUUCAGAAGAUGCCUAAUAAGCGCUCUCUCCCUCCUCUCCCCUUCUCUUUGGUUGCGGAGGACAAAACUAAGGAGGG